rnacentral:lncRNA from 13 species
UCUCUCUCUCUCUCUCUCUCUCUCUCUCUCUCUCUCUCUCUCUCUCUCUCUCUCUCUCUCUCUCUCUCUCUCUCUCUCUCUCUCUCUCUCUCUCUCUCUCUCUCUCUCUCUCUCUCUCUCUCUCUCUCUCUCUCUCUCUCUGUCUCUCCAUUAGGAUGAUUACAACAGAUCUAGAUGGCUUCAUCCCCCCGGCCCCCUCCAUUCCGGCCCCUUGUCUCCCCCAGCAGGGCCGUAGAGACUACCAGCAGUCAGAGGGUUUUGGUCAGAUGGACUGCUAUCUGGACGACCUCUUUGACCCAGUGAUGGACCAGGGACCAGGGGACCAGGAGCGUAUGGUCAAGUUGAACAGGAGGAUGAGAGGAGGAGGAGGGAUGUAUAGACCAGGUGUUCCAAUGACAAUGCCAGGCUAUUCUAUGGGAAUGCCAGUGAACCCUGCCAUGCAAAACUACCAGGCUCCAAUGAUGCCAAGUAUGAUGCCAGCUGCCCCCAUGCCUAUGAUGCCAACCAUGAUGGCACCCCAGCCAGCUGCACCAGGCCUGGACCCCCAGCAGAUGGCAGCACAGCAGCAGGCUUUCAUCAACCAACAGGCCCUGCUCAUGGUAAGGACUUGGAGACACUGGUGGAAAACUGGGACAAACAUGCCAUGA